AGCAGCCGCGGUAAUUCCAGCUCCAAUAGCGUAUAUUAAAGUUGUUGCAGUUAAAAAGCUCGUAGUUGAAUUUCGGGAUUCUUCCGUUGGUCGGGCUAUCCAGUCUGUACUAGCGUGUAGAAUUCCUACCUUCUGGGGAACCAUCAUGUUAUUAAUUUAGCGUGGUGGGAAACCAGAACCUUUACCUUGAAAAAAUUAGAGUGUUCAAAGCAGGCUUACGUCUGAAUACAUUAGCAUGGAAUAAUAGAAUAGGACGGUGGUCCUGUUUUGUUGGUUUCUGAAUCACCGUAAUGAUUAAUAGGGAUAGUUGGGGGCAUUAGCAUUCAAUUGUCAGAGGUGAAAUUCUUGGAUUUAUUGAAGACUAACUUCUGCGAAAGCAUUUGCCAAGGAUGUUUUCAUUAAUCAAGAACGAAAGUUAGGGGAUCGAAGACGAUCAGAUACCGUCGUAGUCUUAACCAUAAACUAUGCCGACUAGGGAUCGGACGAUGUUAAAUUUUAUUGACUCGUUCGGCGCCUUACG
rnacentral:rRNA from 1 species